rnacentral:rRNA from 1 species
UCCGGAAGUCCCCGAUUUCACACUGCCAAGAAAAGCCUCUAGCGAGGGAAGAGGUGCCCGUACCGCAAACCGACACAGGUAGGCGAGGAGAGAAUCCUAAGGCGCGCGGGAGAACUCUCGUUAAGGAACUCGGCAAAAUGACCCCGUAACUUCGGGAGAAGGGGUGCUCUUUGGGGUGAAGAGCCCUGAAGAGCCGCAGUGAAAAGGCCCAAGCGACUGUUUAUCAAAAACACAGGUCUCUGCGAAGCCGAAAGGCGACGUAUAGGGGCUGACACCUGCCCGGUGCUGGAAGGUUAAGGGGAGCGCUUAGCGGAAGCGAAGGUGCGAACCGAAGCCCCAGUAAACGGCGGCCGUAACUAUAACGGUCCUAAGGUAGCGAAAUUCCUUGUCGGGUAAGUUCCGACCCGCACGAAAGGUGUAACGACUUGGGCGCUGUCUCAACGAGAGACCCGGUGAAAUUAUACUACCUGUGAAGAUGCAGGUUACCCGCGACAGGACGGAAAGACCCCGUGGAGCUUUACUGCAGCCUGAUAUGGAAUUUUGGUAUCGCUUGUACAGGAUAGGUGGGAGCCUGGGAAGCCGGAGCGCCAGCUUCGGUGGAGGCGUCGGUGGGAUACCACCCUGGCGGUAUUGAAAUUCUAACCCGCACCCCUUAUCGGGGUGGGAGACAGUGUCAGGUGGGCAGUUUGACUGGGGCGGUCGCCUCCCAAAAGGUAACGGAGGCGCCCAAAGGUUCCCUCAGAAUGGUUGGAAAUCAUUCGGAGAGUGCAAAGGCACAAGGGAGCUUGACUGCGAGACGGACAGGUCGAGCAGGGACGAAAGUCGGGCUUAGUGAUCCGGUGGUUCCGCAUGGAAGGGCCAUCGCUCAACGGAUAAAAGCUACCCCGGGGAUAACAGGCUGAUCUCCCCCAAGAGUCCACAUCGACGGGGAGGUUUGGCACCUCGAUGUCGGCUCAUCGCAUCCUGGGGCUGUAGUCGGUCCCAAGGGUUGGGCUGUUCGCCCAUUAAAGCGGUACGCGAGCUGGGUUCAGAACGUCGUGAGACAGUUCGGUCCCUAUCCGUCGCGGGCGCAGGAAAUUUGAGAGGAGCUGUCCUUAGUACGAGAGGACCGGGAUGGACGCACCGCUGGUGUACCAGUUGUCCCGCCAGGGGCACCGCUGGGUAGCUAUGUGCGGACGGGAUAAGCGCUGAAAGCAUCUAAGCGUGAAGCCCCCCUCAAGAUGAGAUUUCCCACCGCG